rnacentral:rRNA from 1 species
GAUGAACGCUGGCGGCGUGCCUAAUACAUGCAAGUCGAGGGAGAAUGUUGGAUUCGUCUGACAUGAAACCGGCGCACGGGUGCGUAACACGCAUGCAACCUACCUUUAACUGGGGUAUAGCUCAGAGAAAUCUGAAUUAAUCCCCCAUAAGACUACGACAUGGCAUCAUGAUGUAGUUAAAGCUCCGGCGGUUAAGGAUGGGCAUGCGGUACAUUAGCUAGUUGGUGAGGUAAUGGCUCACCAAGGCUACGAUGUAUAGGGGGUCUGAGAGGAUGAUCCCCCACACUGGUACUGAGACACGGACCAGACUCCUACGGGAGGCAGCAGUAGGGAAUAUUGGUCAAUGGACGCAAGUCUGAACCAGCCAUGCCGCGUGAAGGAUGAAGGCCCUAUGGGUCGUAAACUUCUUUUAUUAGGGAAGAAAAAACGGGAUGCGUCCUGUACUGACGGUACUUAAUGAAUAAGGAUCGGCUAACUUCGUGCCAGCAGCCGCCGUAA